GCCAGCAUGGCAUAGUUGUUUGAGUGCUGGACUACAACUCUGGAGACCAGGGUUCGAAUUCCUGCUCAGCCA